rnacentral:rRNA from 1 species
UGGGGAAUAUUGCACAAUGGGCGCAAGCCUGAUGCAGCCAUGCCGCGUGUAUGAAGAAGGCCUUCGGGUUGUAAAGUACUUUCAGCAGUGAGGAAGGUUCAUGCGUUAAUAGCGUAUGGAUUUGACGUUAGCUGCAGAAGAAGCACCGGCUAACUCCGUGCCAGCAGCCGCGGUAAUACGGAGGGUGCGAGCGUUAAUCGGAAUUACUGGGCGUAAAGCGCAUGCAGGUGGUUUGUUAAGUCAGAUGUGAAAGCCCGGGGCUCAACCUCGGAAUUGCAUUUGAAACUGGCAGACUAGAGUACUGUAGAGGGGGGUAGAAUUUCAGGUGUAGCGGUGAAAUGCGUAGAGAUCUGAAGGAAUACCGGUGGCGAAGGCGGCCCCCUGGACAGAUACUGACACUCAGAUGCGAAAGCGUGGGGAGCAAACAGG